rnacentral:rRNA from 1 species
UACGUAGGUGACCAGCGUUGUCCGGAUUUACUGGGCGUAAAGGGCGCGUAGGCGGCCUGCUAAGUCGGAUGUGAAAUCCCUGGGCUCAACCCAGGAACUGCGUCCGGUACUGGUUGGCUUGAAUCCGGGAGAGGGAUGUGGAAUUCCAGGUGUAGCGGUGAAAUGCGUAGAUAUCUGGAGGAACACCGGUGGCGAAGGCGACAUCCUGGACCGGUAUUGACGCUGAGGCGCGAAAGCCAGGGGAGCAAACGGG